AGCGGGCUCCAAUAAGCACAUCCAUAAAAUUGGCGCCCCAAAUUUCGUACAGUCCAAGCGGUCUUCAAUUGAGCCAAUUUUCCACAAUAACAAUAUUUGGGAUGAUCAGAAGCACUGGAUUGGGUGGAACGUGCAGGGUGCGAAUGUUGAGUUGAGUGCAAGGUGCAAUUAGAGGUGGAAUAACUUUGAUCGGAAGUAGGUUGCUGAGACAUUGAAGCAGUCUGCUGUUAGUAGGGAGGAGCAGAACUUG
rnacentral:lncRNA from 1 species